rnacentral:rRNA from 1 species
UCGCGAAAACUUUGCAAUACACGCAAGUGUGACAGGGCUAUCCCGAGUGCCAUCCGCUGAGGAAGGCUUUUACCCAGUCUAGAACGCUGGGGGGAAUAAGGAGAGGGCAAGUCUGGUGUCAGCCGCCGCGGUAAUACCAGCUCUCCGAGUGGUGUGGAUGUUUAUUGGGCCUAAAGCAUCCGUAGCUGGCUAGGUCAGUCCCUUGUUAAAUCCACCGAAUUAAUCGUUGGAUUGCGGGGGAUACUGCCUGGCUAGGGAACGAGAGAGGCAGACGGUAUUUCCGGGGUAGGGGUGAAAUCCUAUAAUCCCGGGAAGACCACCAGUGGCGAAGGCUGUCUGCUAGAACGCGUCCGACGGUGAGGGAUGAAAGCUGGGGGAGCGAACCGGAUUAGAUACCCGGGUAGUCCCAGCUGUAAACGAUGCAGGCUAGGUGUUUGGACGGCCACGUGCCGUUCUAGUGCCGCAGGGAAGCUGUUAAGCCUGCCGCCUGGGGGAUACGGAUCGCAAGAUUGAAACUUAAAGGAAGUU